UACGAAGGGGGCUAGCGUUGCUCGGAAUUACUGGGCGUAAAGGGCGCGUAGGCGGAUAGUUUAGUCAGAGGUGAAAGCCCAGGGCUCAACCUUGGAAUUGCCUUUGAUACUGGCUGUCUUGAGUACGGGAGAGGUGAGUGGAACUCCGAGUGUAGAGGUGAAAUUCGUAGAUAUUCGGAAGAACACCAGUGGCGAAGGCGACUCACUGGCCCGUUACUGACGCUGAGGCGCGAAAGCGUGGGAGCAAACAGG
rnacentral:rRNA from 1 species